AAGCUAUCUGCAAGGAUGGUUUCAGUGGCGAACGGGUGAGUAACACAUGGCUGACCUGCCCUUAGUUGGGGGACAACGGCUGGAAACGGCUGCUAAUACCCCAUGAGCUCGCAGCGGUUAGAGGCGCUGCGAGGAAAGCCGGUGACGGUGACGAAGGAGGGGGCUGUGGCCCAUCAGCUAGUUGGUAGGGUGAAAGCCUACCAAGGCGAGGACGGGUAGGGGGCCUGAGAGGGUGACCCCCCACACGGGUACUGAGAAACGGACCCGAGUCCUACGGGAGGCAGCAGUGGGAUCUUGGGAAAAA
rnacentral:sRNA from 1 species